UUAUCAUAACAAACUUUUUUCCUUAUAUCCAACCUAAAUUCUCUCCUCUUUUAGUUUCAAACCAUUUCCCCUUGAUUGAGAUCAAUAAAUCUAACAUGUACAGUACAUGUUUUGACAACUAAAUUUUCAUUACAGAGCAAAUGGGGAUGUUUGGAAGAAAUCCUAUAUUUUUUUCGUAAAAUCAGCAGGACUUGUUGUAACUACUAUCUUGAUUGCACUGAUACAGCAUUUUCAGAAGUGUGGACACAGGACAGGAGGAGCAAACUUGCAACUCGCGAGCUGGAGACUAACAGAUGACAAUCUUGAGCAGUAUGACUGGGAUGACACAGUCCUCCUUCAGUAUAUGUCACCACGUGGUUUUCUAUUGGUUGCAAACAGGGAGCUGAGUGUGCAAGAAAAACCCUUGUGUGGAGGGACCUCAUACUACAAACUCCGCUGAGCAAAAGAAUGAAGAGUUGCUGAACAGCAGCCAAGAGACUAUCCCAGGAAUAGCUGACAUGGAUACAUGUCUUGCCUCCACAUUUCAAGGUAAACCCAUGAAGUGUGGCCUAAGUAAGUGGAUUAAACACUGAAGUGGACUGAACAAUGACUGAACUGCUGGGCUCAGGGAUUU